rnacentral:pre_miRNA from 1 species
CUCAAAUUAGCCACUUGUAAUUUUCUAAUUAGUUCUUGGGUGUGUUAAAAUUUUCUAAGAAUCAAUUAGAAAAUACCAAGUGGCUAGUUUUGG